GGCCAAGCAAGGUGUAGGCAACUCAAGUGGUAGCCAGUUUUACUACCAUUUCAUGUCUGAUGGCCUUGGACACUGCCUGCCCGAGAGACAAUUAUAAAAACAUAAUUGUCUGCUUCUGUUUAUGAAAUGCUACAUCAUAUGGCAAAUUAACAGCAUUUACAGAGUUCUAAAAUACCCUGAAAAGGAGAAGAGAAAGAAAUAGCAUUCAAGUCUCCUGCCUCCAAAGUGUUGUGGGGGAGAUGAGGACGUCCUAUACCUAUCCUGAUCGCUGCAUUUACCGUGCUGUCCCUUAGCUGCUGACUGCACUGAUCUGAAGUGACUUCACUGAACCCGAGGGUGGAGGGAUGAGCAGGAGCAGAUCUUUUUCUAUGAAGAUUUUUGUUUUCUAUCAUGUUUAAAUAUAUGAAAUUUCAUAGCUAUUUUCCAAUAGCUAUAUAUUUGCUUAAAAAGACUUGUGCAAAAAAAAAAAGACUUGUGCAAAUAUAAAGAUUUACAAGUGGCA